rnacentral:ncRNA from 1 species
UUUUAUUUGAGUUUGAUGAUGGCUCUGAGUGAACGCUAUGUAAAUGCUUGACACAUGCUAAUCGAACGUCAAUAUUUAAUUUGUAUAAAUUAUGUAUAUUGAAGUGGUGUACAGGUGAGUAAGUGGUAUUAUGGCUACCUAAGAGUAAGGCAAAAUAAAUCCCUUAUAAUAACCAUUUAUUAUUAUUUAUUAAUACUAGAUCUAAUCACCCAGUGGUCGAUUAUAUUGAAAAGUUUAGAUAUAAAGGUUAAUAAUAUUAAGAAUAAAUGUGUUUAAAAGAAAUAGUAUUUCGCUCUUAGUUGAUUAUUAAUAACCAUCGGAUAAGUAGUAAGUAUGGUAAUGGCAUAUUUAGCUUGUGUCCGUAGUCAAGACUGAGAGGUCUAUUGACCACACUGGGUCUGAAAAAACCCCAGUGCGUGUAGUACAGCAGUGAGGAAUUUUGGUCAAUGGCCUAACGGCUGAACCAGCAACUUGCAGGAAUGAGAGUUAAUAUAAUAAGUUUAUUAACUUGCUUGACUAGGUCUUAUAAAGUUCUGGAUAAAGCUUAUUAUGAAAACUUUAUAUCCAUAGGUCUCGACCAAAUCUUGUGCCAGCAGUCGCGGUAAGACAAGGGAGACGAGUGUUAUUCAUCUUUAACAGGUAUAUAGGGUACCUAGACGGUGUGCAAUGGCUUAAAUAAGUACCUGGUACACUUGAGUUUGAUAUGUGAGAGGAAUAUGUCGGAAUUGUUGGAGGAAAGAUGAAAUUUGUUAAUACCAAUAGGACUGAUAACGGCGAAGGCAAACCUCUAUGUACAUGUACUUGCUAUUUCUAAAUUAGAAGAAAUUUCUCUUAUAAAAGAUAGAUCUUAUAUAAAAAAAGAGGAAAACAGCAAUGUGCUAUAACUGACGUUGAGGGACGAAGGCUCAGAGAGUGAAGAGGAUUAGAUACCCCCGUAACCUGGGCAGACAAUGAUGAGUGCCAUAGGUUGGCUUUAAGGCGGAACUAUAAAUGAAAGUGGAAGCACUCCACCUCAAGAGUAAUGUGGCAACGCAGGAACUGAAAUCAUUAGACCGUUUCUGAAACCAGUAGUGAAGUAUGUUAUUUAAUUCGAUGAUCCGCGAAUAACCUUACCACAAUUUGAAUGACCUAAAAUAUUUUUUU